rnacentral:lncRNA from 1 species
AUUCCCCUAGUCUGGGAACCUCCAUAUGCCUCGGGUAUGGGCCUAAAAAGACAAAAAUAAAAUGUCCCUCUUACAGGAAACAUAAAUAGAAAAAAAUCAUAGAAGACUUGCUAGAAUGUUGAAAUUCUAUGUAAGCUGAAAUAUAAGAAUUUUUAAAACCAAUUUUCUCUAACCUCACUUAAAGUAAUUCUCUCCAAAAGAGCAAAAGUUGAAUACAGCUUAUUACCCCCUAGGUUCAAGAAAUUCAGAGACUCAUUUGCCAAAUUUAUAGGUAUAGCUAUUGUCCUAAGUCCCAAACAGGUAGGGAUGCAACCUAUGCAUCUAGAGUUGUCACAAAAGGAGAAAAGGCUCUAAGCUGGGAGAGAUGAGACAGAAGACUUCUCUUGUUCCACAGAGACCACAUGACUCAAGCUUUACUUUGCUUCUGGAAAUUUCUCAUUUCCUCAUCUGUAAAACAGGCAUUGGACUAAGUAAGGUCUAUGUCCUUUCCAGAUCAAAACUUUUUAAAGCCCUAAUUCUAAACAUUCUCUCUACACAUGUAUAAAAUGGAAAAUAUCAUAUUUUUAUAAUCUAUAAAAUUAUGCUACAAAUAAAAGAACUGCAUUUGGCAGUUUUUUUCUACGAAAAUUUUAAAGAGGAAAGGAGGUACAAAUCUGGCCAUUUUAGCAUAAUUAUUUCCAUUUUUAAUAUUAGCAUGAUUCUUUAUUACAAAUUAACUUUAUUAAAUUAUACCAUUUUUCUAAUGCCAUGUCUAGCAAAUUUCUGUGUUAACCAUUUUUUAAAUUUACUGAGGAAUAAUGUGUUUGUCUUAAAAAAGGGCCACACCCAUGGCAGAUGGAGGUUCCCAGGCUAGGGGUCGAACCGGAGCUAUAGCUGCUGGCCUACACCACAGCAACACCAGAUCUGAGCCACAUCUAUGACCUACAUGAGAGCUGACAGCAACGCCAGAUCUUUAACCCACUGAGCAAGGCCAGGGGUCAAACCUGCAUCCUUAUGGAUACCAGAUUUGUUUCCACUGAGCCUCGAUGGGAACUCCCAUAAUUGACAAAUAUAAUUGCAUAUAUUUAAGGUGUAUACUGUGAUGAUUUGAUAUACAUUGUACAGUGAAUAUGAAGAUCAAGAAAUUAACACAUCUACAUCUCACAUUGCUAAUAUAGAUUGUGUGUGUGGUGAGAAUGCUUAAUUAAGAUCUAGUCUCAGUAAAUUUCAAGUAUACAACACUAUACUAACUGUAGUCACCAUGCUGACAUUAGAUCUUUAGACCUUUUCUUACAUCUGAAAAUGUGUACCAUUUGACUUACAUCACCCCAUUUCCCCUGCUCCCAAGAUGAUGGCAACCACCGUUCUAUUCUCUGCCUCUAUGAAAUUAGAUUUUUUUCCAUCCUGAUUCUACAUAUAAGUGAUACCACAUAGUAUUUCUCUUUCUGUCUAAUUUCACUUAGCAUAAUGCCCUCCAGAUUUAUUCAAGUUGUUGGGAUGAACCUGGUAUGUGUGUAUAUAUCUCUGUGUGUGUAUGUACAUAUAUGUGUGUUUGUAGUAAAUUUCCUUAUCUAUACAUCCGAUGAAGAACAUUUAGGUUGUUUCCAUAUCUUGGCUGUUGUAAAAAAUGCCGCAGUGGACAUGAGCAUGCAGGUAUCUCUUUGAGUACUGAUUCAGUUCCUUUGGAUAUAUAUUCAGGAGUGGAAUUGCUGGAUCAUAUGUCAGUUCUUUUUUUAAUCUUUUGAGGAACUGCCACACUGUUUUCCUUAAUGGCCAUGACAUUUUACAUUUGUAAGAGUUCCCUUUUUUCACACAAUCACCAACAUUUGUCAUCUCUUUUUGAUGAUGCCAUCCUGACAGGUGUGAGAUAUUUU